CCAGGUCUGCAAAGGGAAUGGUGGAGCAACACGUCACGCCAGGCUGCCCUUUUGAGGCUUCUUCCUCACAACCUACCUGUCAUCUGGAAGGGAGACUGACCCAACCGCUGCUGCACACCUCUUAGGACUUCUUCUAUCUCCUUCUGGAUGUUGCACACCACCUCUUCCAUCAGCCCCACAUCAGCUAUUCCUUUCCAGAACAUCAGUGUGUCCUCUGACACAAAAGAGGAGGAAAAGAAGUCAACAUGUACAAGCAUUUGGCAUUUUUCCCACAGGGCCACCUUAAACCUCUCAGACAAACGUAUCUUUUCAAAGUGACUACCUUUGCAAGGUAGUUUGGCCACUGGGGUGGACAGGACACGUGAAAAAACUAACCAAUCCCAAGCCAAGCAAAAUGGACUUGGGGAGCAAAUCAGGAACAGGUUUUCAAGCAAGUCCAUGACUUCCAAGGCAACAUUUCACAUUUCUGCAAGGUGCAGAACUUAAUAUCAUUAUUUGAGGAAAUUCUAGCUAAGCUUCCAUACUGAUACUACAAGGGAAUGCAAGGCCAGAGAGACAGAACAGAGAGUCGACAGGGAACAAACAUGACUCUGCUCCUUGUUGGUUCCAGCCUGGCUCCAGGCUGGCAGAUGUGUUUCACAUCCUUGGAAUAAAAUAGAAAAGCCCCUCACUGUAACCAGUAACAUCUGAUCUAGGGGAUCAUCCAUCCGCCACGAGGCCACGGACAAAGUACUACAGUGGUAAGGAGCUCCACUGGCAGAAAGCCUCCAUGCCUGGGAAAUGCUGGGAUAGCCAAGGGGCUGGGGGACAGUUUUGUCAUUGCCCAAAUUUUACUUGUUUUGAAGAUUUAGGUUUCCAAAAUGUAACAGGGGAGGAGAGGGGAAAAAACCACCCAACAAGCAGCCUGAGCUUACCUGAGAUCUCAUCUGUGUCCUUUUUCAUGCCUUCCUCAGUGGCCAUGGUGACAGCAGCUGUCAGAGCCGAGUUCCACUCGAUCCCCUCCUCCAUACUCUCCUCCGACAGCGCGAUCUGGGUGAUGCUCCCUGCCAGAGAGCCCCCAUCAGCUCCCUCUGCCAGCCCUGAAUCCCUGCUUUGCUUCCCAACCCCUGAGUCCUCCCCAGGCUCUCUUUCACUCUUUGCGUCAGGUUUGUGCUUGGAUCCUUUCAACCAAAACAGUUAAAAGCAAAUAUUGCUGCUUCUCAAUUGGAACUGUGAAGAACUCUGGGGCUUCUGGAGGGAAAACCAUGUGCCUUGCACAGUGGAGUCCCGGUUCAAGGGAGCAGAAAGGGAUCAGAAUAAAGAAGGGAACAAAUAAGGCUCAGCCCAGCCACCCUUCUCGCCUUGCAUCAUUCACAGGCAGCUCUGCACCCCUAAUCCCUCAGGAAAUUGUGCCAGGGUCCAAGCUGGUUUAUAGAAGGGAAAUGGAUCUGACUCGAUCCUAAGUUUCUGGAUCAAAUUUGGGACUAAACCAAUGUGCAGCCACUCUAAGUUGGCUAUGGUGCUUUCCAAGAGAUUCUCCUUAGCCUAUGGACAACUCUGCCAUGUCACUCACCCAGGGGCUCAGAGAAAUACAACCCACCCAGCUUAACAGUGUGGUACAGUUGGGAAUAGUCUUCUCCCUUAACCUCAGCAAAGAGAUCUGUUUCUGCUCUGCAGCAUAGGAUCACUGAGAACUUGCAGUUCGAACAACAACCAAAUCAUGUCCAGCCACCACAUUCUGCACAUGGAUGUUCUGAAGGAGGACAGCAUCUCUAAAUUCACUCCUAAGUAUGAGCCUAAGUCAUGCCUUUAUAACAGACUCCCAACUGGAAAAUAUAUCAGAAAAUGCUGUGCGAGCUCUAACAGGUGUUUGCUCACGUGAUGAUCCCAGAGCAAGGAUCCCUGCAAGGCUCUCAAUCCCACUCCUGGCUACCAACGCUGCCUCUCUGGAAAGCAGCUGCUUGAUGCCAGCAGUUUUCCAGCCUUCCCAGUCCUGCAGAGCAGAGCUCCCUGACGGAUGCUGCCAAGACUUCUCCAAACAGACAUGAGAAGCAUUUUCCUUCCCAGAAACCAGAGCAAUCUCCUGGUGGGACUGCCCUGCUGUGCCCAGGGAGAAGGUGUAAAGUGUGUGUGGGAGGGACAGGAGCAUCAGAGGGAAGUUCCCAUGGCAUUGGUAACUGCUUUCCUACCGUCAGCUGAGGUUGGAGUCUGCACCACGGUCUGCUGCCCUGGCACUGGUGCUCUGGCGCUGCUGAUCAGGAGAUCAAACUUGGUGCUUCGACAGGUGUUGGUGCAAACUUUGUCAUGUUGAUAGAAGUCAAUCUGCCCUGAAUCCAUCAUCUUCCUGUGCAGGGAGUAGGGACAGAAUCAGGCUCAGCUCAAAUCUCAGCCUGAAGACAAAAGGCAGUAUUCCACCUGGGAAUGCUAUGGCCAUGGGAAGGAAAGAGAAAGGGAGAUCCCAGGGCCACUCUGCACACAAAAAAUCUCCUGCAAGGCUUUCAAAUGGCAAAUACAAGCCAGCCCCAGCUUCACAUACAGGGCUUCAGUCCUGUUCCACCCCAGGUUCCCCAGGCAAGGCCACUUCUGUCCAGGAUGAGGGAUCCUGACCCUCACAUCAUGGGGCCGGGAUCUCUGCAGGCUGCUGGCCAGGUACUGUGGGCCUCCAAGAGGCCUCCUGGGGACUGCAAAGCAGACAAAACACCUGCUGGGGGUCCUGCAGCUACAGGGGUGGAGCCCUGAAGCUGGACAGGGUCAAAUACCUUAGCAUGAUUCCUCCAAGGCGAAUGGCUCUCUUCCAAUCCUUCAGGGUAGACUUCCCAGCCAGGUGAACAAAAUGCUUCGGGCUGAUCAGCUGGUCAUUGAACUGGCAAUGAGACAAGUAAAGGCUCAGCAAACAGGGUAACAUCGCUUGGGAGGAUUGGGACAUCCAACACAGCUCAUCUGAGCCCCCACUUCCACCCAGAGAGAGGAGUUGCUUCUCAGAUCCCUCCCAGCUUUGAUCCCCUGGACACAGCAACGCUCACAGCUCCAGGAAGGACGUCUGUAGGAAUGAUCUGCCAGCCACAGGCAUUCACAGCCCUAACCAAGAACAGCCUUAACCAAGAACAGCCCUGAAGGCUUUAUAUGAACCAAAUCAUCUCCUAUGAACAUGUACAGUCAUCUUGGAGAUCAUUACAGGAGGUUUCUGUUACAUCCAAUGGCCCAGCAGCAUCCAGCUGACACAGGUAUUCCCUUGGGCAUCCAUUCUGCCCUGCUCCAGUGACUCGAGUAGUUCCUGUUGAGGGGCAGGAGCACAAGGGGCUUGGCUGUCACAUUGCCAUGCUCUCAGGUGGGAAAAGGUAACACCAAGAUUUCCCUUCUCAGUGCAACCUGCUUGCCAAGGAAGUGACAGGAGUGGAGUACCAGGACACCGAGGAAAAGGGAGGAGGCAAAGCUCUGCCAGAUCUCAACACACAUCUCCUGCCUGCCUUCAGUCCCUCCUCAAAGGCCAAUACAGCUGAAAUAUGAAGUGGGUGAUAGAUAUCCUUCCCUCCUUAACCCACUCUUUCUAUGCUUCUCCCCAUCAAAAAACAAGUUUAGCACCAACAAUCCAAGGACUCGGUUAGGAUGAAACACAAAAACUAAGGAAUUCCUGUGGAGGCCAACCAGCGCACCUGGAGAGCAGAGGAGAAAUCCACUGGGAGUUUCUCCCUUACCUUCACACACUUGACAUUAAUUCCUGGACAGACAAACUUCUUCCAGAGGAGGAUGGCUUUGCUCUCCCCACAGGUGAUGGGAUAGGCGAUCUCGAUUUCCUCACUCGUUUCGAGGGUGCUGGGGUCUGAGGGAGGAACGACUCAAAAUGAAACUUUCCACCCAAGAGGCUCCAAUCCCACAAGGCAGGAGCUGGAAGCUCACAGGCUGUGAGACCUGCACUUGGGAAACCAAAAAAAAGGCCAGAUCCCAGUUCAGGAUCAGUCCUCUCUUUGUCUUCUCAGAGUUAGUUCAGAUUAACUCUUAACAGCAACUGGGAUCUGCUUUUUGGUAUAACAAUGCUCCAAAUAAAGUUCAUUUAUAAGGAAA